rnacentral:piRNA from 1 species
UAGCUGCUCAAUGCCUUUGGUAGGU